AGCAACGACAUCUGCGAAUGACAUCUACCGAUGAUAUUAAUAUGACUUCGCACUUUUGCUCCGUCCUGCCCAACUGCAUGCUUCAUGAAGUUCCUGCGAUAGAGUGUUGUGCCUGAGCUGUUCAACCCUUUGAAGCAAUUAAUGAUGCCUUUCAUUCCCGGGAUUUAGAGAAUGUAUCAUUCAGAGAAUGAUACAUAAAUAUAGUAUGACUAGUGACUGAUUGCUUGAGAUAAUGCUCUCCUUGCUGUAGGCUACAUCCUUACAGAGUUGACAAUAAUUGUGAAAAGCAUGGUCUCAUGAAUGAAUCCACCACUAUUCAGGAAACUGAGUCAAAGGCUGUUGAGUAACUAUCAACAACUGACUUACUUACGGCCGUACCCUCUGGCCCCAGGGUGAAUGGCUAAAGGGCAGAAUGGCAACGGGGGGUUGUUUCCCGAAUAUAAAAUGGCGAUGCUGGCACGAGAAGAACUAACCUACUAAGUUAACUAUUCAGAUUGACAAAAUGAGCGAGACUCUACGCUCUGUUCUCUUUGGAGAAGGUUGGAUUUACAAUUCAUGAGAUGAUAGCCAGAUUUUGUUCCAGGAUGGCACAGGCACAAACUGAAUAUCUGGAUUGCCACCGAGUUCGAUUGGAAGCCUUUAAACCCGGAGUGCCUUGACCAGGUCAUCAGAUACCAAAAGACCACACUGAGGCACACAUUUCUUGUACUCUAUAUCUGACGAUAUCGACUACGGAUUCACCAUCCAGACGCUAAUAGGAUGAUUGCUAAUAACAUGAUGUCUAAAAAGAACUUAAUACAUUUGCUCCACAACUAAAAGUUUAAUCAUGUUCACUACUGACCUGAAAAAAAAGGCUCACGGAUACUUGUAAUACAAAAAUCAACCCCCGAUUCCAUGGAUGAAGAUAAAUCCCAGAAUCACCAUAAUAGAAAUAGGGAACUCCCAUAAGCAUCUCCUCAGAUUGGUUGGACCAUGGACCUAGCCAUCUCGAGCUUAGCACUGUCCACAAUACCUCUGUCCACAAGUUUAGCAAUCACUCGGACGGUCCAGCCUUGACAAUUUUCCACAACAGCCUGUCGAUUUACUGCUCUCGGAGGGGGUUCAUUCUCAGCCACCUGUUUUACAAUGAGCGCCUGUUUGUCCGUGACGACGGCAAGGUUGUAUGCAUUUGAGAAAGACGCCGACUGGAGGAUGUUGGUUGGGCCGGGUGAAGGUUGAUAACUCAUGCAUUCAGCAUCUCCUUUGACUUGGUAAACUGGGCCGGGUUCGUUUUCGCGGGCGACAAAGAGUGACCAAUGCUGGGGUUCGCCGUCAGCUUGAUUCUCCUGGAUAAGCAAGAGGCGCAGUGCACGGUCUAGUGUAGGCAAGUUGCUUUCGAGUUCCUCGGAUUCGAUCCAUUGUUGCGUCCCCCUUUUGCGCCUGAACUCACGGCCGUUGAACACGCAAUAUUCGGAAAAGCCGACGGACUUGAAAGGAGUGCCUGGGGGUGGAUAGUUACUCAUCCGGUAAAGCAUUAGCACUAAGACACGAAUAUUCAUGAUAUGGAUGCGGUCAAAGGGCCACAAUCUUUGAGGAAAUAUUUUAAAGCCUUGGAUGUAUAUUUGUGUAAUCUUUAAGAUGAACGUUGGAACUUUUGCAC
rnacentral:sRNA from 2 species